GCCGAGGUCCACGCCCCACUGAACAGACCCCACCUUCACUUAUCGAUUGAUGAGAGAACAACAGAGGCGAUGGAGGCUCUGCCGCCUCCAGUGACUGAAAGCCAAGCUGACGGAGUCACCCGUAGAGGAAAAUGAUCUCCUCGCUUGUUGCUGUCUGUGACGAACUUCUUCUGGAGGGAACUCUGUGUGACGUUGUGAUCGAACGCCCACAAGAUGAUCCUCUGUGGCUGCAGCUCAUA